GUGACCCAUUCUGUGCAAGUCUGCAAAGUGGGGCAUUUCAAACUACAGCUGGAAAUUCACAGCAGCUUGUCUCUUAUUCAAAGUAGUCUACAGGAAUUACUUCGAAGACCAGUGACUGUCAUGGAAAUCAACCACGGAGGUGCCAUGCUUGAAUGUCUGUGGAGGACACUAGUAAGAGUCUGGAGACUCCUGUUCUGCUACGUGACUGAUGACUCUGAAAUCAAACUUUCAGAAGAAGAAACUGAACCAGUGUCCAUCAUCUCCAGCGUCCCUAGCUCUGUCCAUCCAUGGUUUGAGAAAUAUGGAGAAGAUGGUGGAGUUUAGUGUGGAGGGCUGAAUACAUUGCUUCAUGUGUUAUUAUUGCCAUUGCUCAUGCACUAUGUAUUAGGAGCACACGCCUUUACUGUGGAACCACUCGCGAUUACUCUGAAGGACAAGAUUUUCCCAAAAGAGCCAGACUGUAAAAACAUUACCUCCAGUUCAUUUGUUACACUGUAAAUGGAAAACUGAGCCAAGCACAUGGUACUGUUAUUAUCCUAAACUGUAAAUUCAUGAGUAUUCAAACUUGACGAGUAUUAAUUUUUAUUGCCUGGAAAUGAGUGUCUAAAAUUUUUGUAUCUAAAAAUACAGGAUGUCAUUUUUAGCCCAACUGGAUUGGUUUAGGAAACAAAUACAACAUUGAGUCACACAAAAAUCUGGCCAGUGAUAAUGUAUUUUUGCAGGGCCAUCCAAAAAUGUGCAUCAGCCUGGUUCCCUUAAACCACAAUUUCAAUUGGCUUUUGGAUUAUUGCAGAAAAUAUGCUUUGUGGCCAACAACAGUUCAUGUUUCUUACACGUUUUGUAAGAAUAAUCUUUACAGAUGAAGCCUGCUUCGGAAGCUAAAUACAACUGUCAGAGGUAAAAAGCUAAACUUAGACUAUAAACUAAUUAAACAAUGGUCACAUCAUUUCACUUUAUUUCAGACAUCAGACAAAAAACCUACAAAAACACAUGAUCCCUGCAGCAGUCAUGGCACAGCAUUGUUGCAACUCUUGUCUUUUCAGUUUCCAUUACAUCCAAAGAUCUUUUAGAUGUCAAUCCAGUUGGUCUUUUCUGCACUGUUUGUUCACUUCACUGAUUUGCACUCUAUCUGCCAUGUGCCUUGUGCUGCUUUAUUUAACUUGAUUUUUAAUUGUAUUAUGUGUCUUUUUUAGAUUACCUUUUUGUAUAGUUGUUUCUACAUUUUUGACAAUAACUCUUGACAAUAAAGCAGACUUGACUU